rnacentral:rRNA from 1 species
AAUAUUUGAUAAUGGGCGAAAGCCUGAUCCAGCCAUGCCGCGUGUGUGAAGAAGGUCUUCGGAUUGUAAAGCACUUUAAGUUGGGAGGAAGGGCAGUAAGUUAAUACCUUGCUGUUGUGACGUUACCGUCAGAAUAAUCACCGGCCAACUUCGUGCCAUCAGCCGCGGUAAUACGAAGGGUGCAAGCGUUAAUCGGAAUUACUGGGCGUAAAGCGAGCGUAGGUGGUUUGUUAAGUUAGAAGUGAAAGCCCCGGGCUUAACCUGGGGAUUGCUUUCAAAACUGACGAGCUAGAGUACGGUAGAGGGUAGUGGAAUUUCCUGUGUAGCGGUGAAAUGCGUAGAUAUAGGAAGGAACAUCAGUGGCGAAGGCGACUACCUGGACUGAUACUGACACUGAGGUGCGAAAGCGUGGGGAGCAAACAGG